GAGCAAAUAAACGAUGUCAAUAGUUAUUUUUAAAAAAUGAGAAUCGUGAAAUAAACAUCGGUUCAGAGCAUAACUGUUGUCAUUUUUUCUUAGACAUCGGUUUAAAUUAUACCCGUUGUUAAUUCAAAUUUUUAAAAAAACUAAAAAACACGCGGGCUUGCUUUGCCCUGUUUAUUUCACAAACAUUUCACACUUAACCAAAAAUAUUUCCCCCACACUGAACAAAAACAUCUCCCCCUCUUUCCAACAUCUCACGCCACUCCGUCACUCCCGAUAUCUCACCUCUCACUCACUCACUCCCGACUCCCUCAAAAUCUCCUCCGCCUCUCGCUGCCGCCGCAUCUCUCUCGUGUCUGUCUCACAUCUCUGUCACAUCUCUCUGUCUAUAACUCGGCCCAAUUUCAAUUAGGGGUCCAAUUGAACCCCAAAUUGGAUGAAUUUUCAAUUAAUCAAGCUCCAGCUUCGAGAAUGCCUAAUUUCUUGACCAUGCUUUAUUUAUUUCGAUUGGGUUUUGUUUAUUUGUAAUUAGGGUUCCUUCUUUGUUCAAAUUUUUUAUCUGGGUUUUUCAUUUUUGAACAGAUCUGGAGGUUUGGAGCCUUCAAGAGGUUUCAGCGAGCUUGAAGAGGACCAGAGCAAUUCUUUUUUUUGCUAAGGGAUUGCAUGGUUUUGUUGUACCAGACAAUUCUUUUCUUUGCUGAGGGAUUUGGGCUUUUUUACAAUGCCUCAAACUAUAUUUGAAGCAAAGCAAUCAGCAGUGCAACAUUUUCUAUCAUAGACCAGAGACGUCAAUCACUUGGCCGUUUUCAUGGAGUUAAGGUUGUCCACACCUCUAAAAAGAUACACACGGUCAGAUCAAUAUCACUGAGAUCAACUGGAUGCUCAUGAUUCGUUGCAUUGUUGUAAUGAUUGGCUUCAGAGACACAAAACACAUUGAGAAUUAUACUCGGAGAAAUUGUGCUUGGUUGGAUGGUGGAUUGUAUUUGGUAGCUAGGUACCUAGUUUUUUGGAUUUGAAAUCGGAGAAGUGGAUAUAUGUGUAUAUAUAUAUGUGUGUUUGUUUUUUUUGAUCUGUUGGUUUUAUAGACAUGACUUAUUGGUUGUAUG